rnacentral:lncRNA from 1 species
UCCCUCGUGCCAGCCUUUGCCCAAUGUUUUCCAUUCAAUAAAAAGCCUUGGCUCCUUUAGCUACCUCAUCAAGAUCUCCUUUGUGCAAGACCUGGCCAAGACUUUAGAGAUCUAAGGCUCACCAGAUUGUCAAAUUAGCCACCUCCAAGAAGAAGAAACUCACUUUUUUUGUCACAGUUGCUUUGAUAAAAAUUGAAUUUGUAACAAAUCUAUUCUGUUGUUCUACUUCCUUGCUCUGCUUCUUGAAAGCCUAAGUUUAUAGCAACAUCUCUUUUAUCUUCUUCUUUGUAUGCCUUUGUUUGAUCUCAUUCAACAAAAAUCGGCUGGUUUUUACCUUCCUUUUUUCCAAAAAAGAGAUGAUGAAGCAAACUGAUCAAAUUUCUGCUUGGUACAUUAUUUUAUGUUAUUAAUAGUUUGAUUUACAUAUGCAACGUUAGGAACAUUAAAGACAAGUUGUGAAAAUAAAUGUUGGUACAAGCAUAAUGCCGGCAAAAGUUAUGCUACCAAGGCAUUAAUCAAAUUGAAAUCCCUUCAAGGAAAACUUGUGGGGAUUGUUGAGGACCUUUCCAAAGUUUUCUCACAUAGCUCUAGAUAACUGAUG